AAGGCAAAAAGGGAGUUUGCAUAAAUCAUUCAUAAAGAAUUUAAAUUGGUGCUGGGGACAGAAAACUAACCUUGGCUACACAAAAUUAAUUGCUAAAGCUAUCUGGAAGUAAAAAGUGCAUCUCUGCGAGGAGUUGCAGGUGUUCUUACAGCAUCCUAGAAUAUUUAUAGUUUUGCCUAUUUCCAGAGUUCAUGUUCUGUCCAGUAAGGAUGUGCAUAAGACCCCCCCCCCCUUUUUUUUUAAUGGCCUCUAGGCUCCAUUUUAAAGCUCCUUAACACAAGUGACUUCAUUUUAUUUCACUUUUGACAAAAUCGCCAGGUAUUUCUCCAGCAAAAUAGCUUUAAUUGGGAACAACAGAAAUUUGUAAUUUGAGACAUGCGAUCGAAAGGAAAACCACUGUGAGUCCAGAGACACCAAGGAGAGAAAUGCUCUCUCAUGGACGUGGGAAGGGCAAAGGGUGUUGCUUAAGGCCUCUGCCUCCCUGGAGAGCACUGUGACGAUUGCUCAAUCAGAACAUGGUUUAAUUUUAUUUUUUAUUAACAGUGCCGAGUGGGUUUUAGUUAAGCAAGCUGUAGCCACCCACAGGAAAGACUGUCACGCAUGGUUUAGAUGCGUGACAGUCUUGAGACUAUUGUCCAGACGAUCCAAAUUCAACAGACCUGACUAAUCCCGAAUCCCUUUCUACCUGCUCAGUUAAAUUUUCCUUGUUAAUCCCAAAUCACAAUCAUCUCUUUUGCCUCCAAAGUCACAGUUCCCUUGAAACCACCCCUCUGGUCCUAUUCCGCUGCCUUGGAAAGGGUAAAAGCACUGGCCUCUGUAGCAGUAAGAAUUGGGCUUGAACCCUCGCUCACUUGAGUAAAUUUUUUAACGUAAGCCUCAUUUUUUUUUUUUUUUUCAUCUUUAAAACAGAGAUAAUGG